rnacentral:rRNA from 1 species
AUCCCUACGGGGCGCAGCAGUGAGGAAUAUUGGUCAAUGGCCGGAAGGCUGAACCAGCCCAGCCGCGUGAAGGACGAAGGUGCCAAGCAUUGUAAACUUCUUUUGUCAAGGGACAAAAUCAGGCUCGAGAGCCUGACCGAGGGUACUUGAAGAAAAAGCAUCGGCUAACUACGUGCCAGCAGCCGCGGUAAUACGUAGGGGGCAAGCGUUAUCCGGAAUUACUGGGUGUAAAGGGAGCGUAGACGGCAAUGCAAGUCCGGAGUGGAAUGCGGCAGCUCAACUGCCGAACUGCUCUGGAAACUGUA